rnacentral:lncRNA from 1 species
UCUCUAUCUCCAGUGUUAUGCAUCCUUUGACUUCUGCUAUUACUUUAUUAAUUUUUUUAAGAUAGCUGCCCCGCAACACGCAAGACAAAGAAUUGGUCAACCUGAAAAAAAGAAAAUGGUCAAGUGACUUGGCAGAUAUACAUGAACAGCACGGGGGACCCGAUACCUUCAAGUGGGCCCACAUGAUAGUUGCACGUAGACCUUGAGGAUGUCAACGGAUCUGAGUGUUAAGCCAUUGCCCCAUCCCC